CUCCGGGCGUCGGCCUGUGGG
rnacentral:snRNA from 1 species